CACCAUGAAACCAAUUGCUCCCCUCCUUAUUUCUCUACCACAGUAUUGUGUCUAAGAUCGUAUGGAAAAUAUGGAGAUCAUCAAUGAGAGGAGGGUUCCUCUCCAACCUACUGAGCUCUCUCGGCCUUUUCACAGUCUCGUAUGCAGAUGAUGAUGCAAGCUUUUGCUUGGGUUAAUGGUGGCCACUUUGGGACCACAUUUCUAUUAUUCCUUCUUUUCUUACAUAUGGCAACACCCAAUCAGAAAAGCAUAGUUACAGCCAUUAUCACUUCCACAGCCUCCUCAUCUCUCUUCUUCUAUCUUCUUUCUUCUCCUCUCUCUCUCUCUCUCUCUCUCUCUCUCUCUCUCUCUCACACACACACACACACCCUUCUUUCCUUUUUCUGUUCUUCCUACAUGCAGAUCUACUGAGUACAUCAGGAGGGGUAUGUGUGCAUCAAAAGCAGCUGAAGCUGCCAGCAUGAUCUGAUGGCUGCUCCUCCUCUAUCCUCUCACAACUUCACAAGGAAUCAAUCAGAUCAUCUGGCAGUUUCAUCUGCUGAUGGGAGCACAACAAAACCCUAAAACAGUUUCCAUGGAGAUGCCAGCCCAUGAAGAAAGACACCACAAGGUUCAGCAUGUCUGAUAGUUUGUACGAUGUGGAGGAGGAAUUGAUGGAAGAGAACCCAACAAAGGAGCCAUGAGAAGCUCGGAUGAGGGAAAGAAAGGACCAUUAGGGUUUUGGUUUGGAAGGAACACUACCAUCUUGUUCUUGGAACGAAGCUUGACAUCAAGUCCUGAUCGGUGAGAUGGUGGCUUUGAUCUCUUCUUGGUCAUGACCUCAGUAUCAUUAGCUUCUGCCAUUCUCCUUGACUGAGAAAUAGGAUAAGAAUCCAUCGAUGGCACUGUUUGCAAUCAGACAGAUACCUAUGACAGAUAAGGACACUGAUUCAUGCUUCAUGAUGCUGCAACUCAUUUUGUUUUUUGGAAUAAGCUUAUUACACAACCAUAAGACUGUGCAUGCUUGAAAUAACUAGAUUUGCUUCGAUUCGAAAUCAUUUUUUGUCUGUGUAAA